GUGCUUGCUUCAGCAGUACAUAUACUAAAAUUGGAAUGAUACAGAGGAGACUAGCAUGGCCCCUGCGUUAGGAUGACAUGCAAAUUCGUGAAGCAUUCCAUAUUGAA